AGCAGCCGCCGCGGUAAUACGGAGGGUGCAAGCGUUAAUCGGAAUUACUGGGCGUAAAGCGCACGCAGGCGGUCUGUCAAGUCGGAUGUGAAAUCCCCGGGCUCAACCUGGGAACUGCAUUCGAAACUGGCAGGCUAGAGUCUUGUAGAGGGGGGUAGAAUUCCAGGUGUAGCGGUGAAAUGCGUAGAGAUCUGGAGGAAUACCGGUGGCGAAGGCGGCCCCCUGGACAAAGACUGACGCUCAGGUGCGAAAGCGUGGGGAGCAAACAGGAUUAGAUACCCCAGUAGUCCCUGUCUCUUAUAA
rnacentral:rRNA from 1 species